UGUUACGCCUACUCUGUUUGUGGCCGCACAGCCAUCAUAACGGAAACGAGGUGUUGUUAGCUGUCAACUUUGUGGUGGGAUUGUCUAGGCUAGGCCAAUGGCAAUGAUGGAUGGUGACACAGCUGCCAAACAUGGCCUCCCAGCCCUGCUAAGCACUCCGAGCGCUAGUCCAGUGAAGCAAAUGGUUUCUUCAGUUCCCAGUCGUGAAAGGUUCCCGCUGCACCCAGCCAGGUUCCUUCAGCUAAUGAAAACACUGGCCAUGGUCUAUGUGAUGGCUUACCUCAUCACACAGCGACAUCAGUGGCAGAGCAUGAUCAGGGACAAGAGCAAGUGCGACAAAAUUCUUGAUGGGUACACAGUUCGCAGCAGGACAGAAGGACGCCAUGACCAGUUGGACUGCACACCCAGGCAUUUUGACAGCCAAACAGCUAGGACUUGUUUCCGCAAUUCUAAACUUCUCUUUAUCGGUGAUUCGCGGAUCCGGGCACUGGCGAGUAAGUUUAUAUUUGGCUACUUCAGGCUGCCGCCAAAGCAACAGGUUGGGAAGCGAGCUGAUACACCCGCAACAAA